CUUAAACCAGCCACCACUUUGCUCGUUUCAACCUUUGACACUAUGAAGAGUUUCAAGGUCUUGUCUUCUGAAAAUGUUUACCUUGUGAGGUGGCUUCCUGGGUAGGGGGUCGCACCAAGAGAAUAUCCUGACUUCGUGCUCAGAGGCAGGAGGUUACAGUUCUCCACAGAUUCUUUAAGUGCUUCAUAUCUCCACAGGCUUAAUUUGGCAGCUUCUGCUGAAAAUAUCUACAAAGUUGCUGUUUCUGAAGUUAUCCUGAUUUCAAACUCUGCUUUACUAAGGUGUUAAAGGUUAUACUGCAUUGAAGACCAUUUACAUAUUUUCCCCAAGAUCACUUUGCAAAAUAGUUUUGAAAUCAUUUGAAAAGCUACUGGAAAAUUCACCUGUGUGAUUAUUGUUUCAAGAAGACAUAAGAUCCGUCUAUGUGGAGAGCUGUGGUGCUGGUGGAAGGGUUGCCUGAAUGGUCCAGGAGUGAACUUGCCUAUUGCAUACAAGUCAUGCAGAGGGUCGUGCAGCUUGUGGGAACAAGAAGAGCUCUUGGGAAGUUACGGGGAAAGAAAAAUGGAAGCAUAAUGGUGAAAUAUGAGCAAACAGUUUGUCUGUGAUGCAGUAUGAGGAUGGUCCUUCUCACUUGGAAAACAACAGUGAGGCUAACUCCACUUCUCCAGUCCCAUGGUCGGAAAAUGGUAUUGAAUAAUCUUCCAAAUAGAAGACUUUCAGCUUUGUUACUUGCAUGCAUCAUCAUUUCCUCAAAGCAUCUCCUGAUUUCAGAGGCCCUCUAACUCCAGAACAAUACAAGGUAUCGCCAGAACAGCAAAAAGGAAAUGUAUUGAUUCUGGAAAACAGGUCCAGCAUACCAUUGAUGCCGAUACAAUAGAUAAUUUAAUUCAAACAAAUUUCCCCGAGAUGACAAAAACCUAAAGCAUAACAAGAUGAUCGCAAGGUAUGUAGUCUGGUAUUCAUUCAGCUACGCUCCAGAGUCUGCGCUGAGCUAUGAGACCAGUCUUGGUCCAGAAGCCAGGAGAUCCUGCCUCUCUCCUCCUUGCUCUAACUCCACUUGCUUUGGAGGAGGAGUUGCCUCAGUUUCCUUCGCUCUAGAGCAGAAAUUCUAGUGUUUAUGAAAUGUUCAUGGGACCUUGUUGGACGCUUGUUCAAAGGACAGUUUGAUGGUGUGAAAUGCCUUCUUACCGUGGAGUAAGCUAAGACAGAAGAAUGAGCAAGUGGUGUUUAAGACUCAGGUAUUUCAUCCCUAUCCAGUUAUUU